rnacentral:rRNA from 1 species
GCAAGUCUGGUGCCAGCAGCCGCGGUAAUUCCAGCUCCAAUAGCGUAUAUUAAAGUUGUUGCAGUUAAAAAGCUCGUAGUUGAACCUUGGGUCUGGCUGGCCGGUCCGCCUCACCGCGAGUACUGGUCCGGCUGGACCUUUCCUUCUGGGGAACCUCAUGGCCUUCACUGGCUGUGGGGGGAACCAGGACUUUUACUGUGAAAAAAUUAGAGUGUUCAAAGCAGGCCUUUGCUCGAAUACAUUAGCAUGGAAUAAUAGAAUAGGACGUGCGGUUCUAUUUUGUUGGUUUCUAGGACCGCCGUAAUGAUUAAUAGGGAUAGUCGGGGGCGUCAGUAUUCAGCUGUCAGAGGUGAAAUUCUUGGAUUUGCUGAAGACUAACUACUGCGAAAGCAUUUGCCAA